AGCCCAGAGCCUGAAUCAGUGUGUGUGUUAGUGGAAGCGUCUGGAAAGGCGCGCGAUACAGGGUGACAGCCCCGUACACAAAAAUGCACAUGCUGUGAGCUCGAUGAGUAGGGCGGGACACGUGGUAUCCUGUCUGAAUAUGGGGGGACCAUCCUCCAAGGCUAAAUACUCCUGACUGACCGAUAGUGAACCAGUACCGUGAGGGAAAGGCGAAAAGAACCCCGGCGAGGGGAGUGAAAAAGAACCUGAAACCGUGUACGUACAAGCAGUGGGAGCCUCUUUAUGGGGUGACUGCGUACCUUUUGUAUAAUGGGUCAGCGACUUAUAUUCUGUAGCAAGGUUAACCGAAUAGGGGAGCCGAAGGGAAACCGAGUCUUAACUGGGCGUUAAGUUGCAGGGUAUAGACCCGAAACCCGGUGAUCUAGCCAUGGGCAGGUUGAAGGUUGGGUAACACUAACUGGAGGACCGAACCGACUAAUGUUGAAAAAUUAGCGGAUGACUUGUGGCUGGGGGUGAAAGGCCAAUCAAACCGGGAGAUAGCUGGUUCUCCCCGAAAGCUAUUUAGGUAGCGCCUCGUGAAUUCAUCUCCGGGGGUAGAGCACUGUUUCGGCAAGGGGGUCAUCCCGACUUACCAACCCGAUGCAAACUGCGAAUACCGGAGAAUGUUAUCACGGGAGACACACGGCGGGUGCUAACGUCCGUCGUGAAGAGGGAAACAACCCAGACCGCCAGCUAAGGUCCCAAAGUCAUGGUUAAGUGGGAAACGAUGUGGGAAGGCCCAGACAGCCAGGAUGUUGGCUUAGAAGCAGCCAUCAUUUAAAGAAAGCGUAAUAGCUCACUGGUCGAGUCGGCCUGCGCGGAAGAUGUAACGGGGCUAAACCAUGCACCGAAGCUGCGGCAGCGACACUAUGUGUUGUUGGGUAGGGGAGCGUUCUGUAAGCCUGCGAAGGUGUACUGUGAGGUAUGCUGGAGGUAUCAGAAGUGCGAAUGCUGACAUAAGUAACGAUAAAGCGGGUGAAAAGCCCGCUCGCCGGAAGACC
rnacentral:rRNA from 1 species